UGGGGAAUAUUGCACAAUGGGCGCAAGCCUGAUGCAGCCAUGCCGCGCGUGUGAAGAAGGCCUUCGGGUUGUAAAGCACUUUCAGCGAGGAGGAAGGGUGGUGUGUUAAUAGCACAUUGCAUUGACGUUACUCGCAGAAGAAGCACCGGCUAACUCCGUGCCAGCAGCCGCGGUAAUACGGAGGGUGCAAGCGUUAAUCGGAAUUACUGGGCGUAAAGCGCACGCAGGUGGUUUGUUAAGUCAGAUGUGAAAUCCCCGCGCUUAACGUGGGAACUGCAUUUGAAACUGGCAAGCUAGAGUCUUGUAGAGGGGGGUAGAAUUCCAGGUGUAGCGGUGAAAUGCGUAGAGAUCUGGAGGAAUACCGGUGGCGAAGGCGGCCCCCUGGACAAAGACUGACGCUCAGGUGCGAAAGCGUGGGGAGCAAACA
rnacentral:rRNA from 1 species